rnacentral:rRNA from 1 species
UACCGUUCGAAUAGGGCGGUACCUUGACGGUACCUAACCAGAAAGCCACGGCUAACUACGUGCCAGCAGCCGCGGUAAUACGUAGGUGGCAAGCGUUGUCCGGAAUUAUUGGGCGUAAAGGGCUCGCAGGCGGUUUCUUAAGUCUGAUGUGAAAGCCCCCGGCUCAACCGGGGAGGGUCAUUGGAAACUGGGGAACUUGAGUGCAGAAGAGGAGAGUGGAAUUCCACGUGUAGCGGUGAAAUGCGUAGAGAUGUGGAGGAACACCAGUGGCGAAGGCGACUCUCUGGUCUGUAACUGACGCUGAGGAGCGAAAGCGUGGGGAGCGAACAGGAUUAGAUACCCUGGUAGUCCACGCCGUAAACGAUGAGUGCUAAGUGUUAGGGGGUUUCCGCCCCUUAGUGCUGCAGCUAACGCAUUAAGCACUCCGCCUGGGGAGUACGGUCGCAAGACUGAAACUCAAAGGAAUUGACGGGGGCCCGCACAAGCGGUGGAGCAUGUGGUUUAAUUCGAAGCAACGCGAAGAACCUUACCAGGUCUUGACAUCCUCUGACAAUCCUAGAGAUAGGAC